rnacentral:rRNA from 1 species
GAUGAACGCUAGCGGCAGGCUUAAUACAUGCAAGUCGAGGGGUCAGCAAUGACACCGGCGGACGGGUGCGUAACGCGUAUGCAACCUACCUACAUCAGGGGGAUAGCCCUAGGAAACUGGGAUUAACACCGCAUAAUAUUAUUAAUGGCAUCAUUGAUAAUUGAAAUAUUUAUAGGAAGUAGAUGGGCAUGCGUAAGAUUAGCUAGUUGGUAAGGUAACGGCUUACCAAGGCUACGAUCUUUAGGGGCUCUGAGAGGAGUAUCCCCCACACUGGCACUGAGAUACGGGCCAGACUCCUACGGGAGGCAGCAGUAGGGAAUAUUGGGCAAUGGAGGCAACUCUGACCCAGCCAUGCCGCGUGCAGGAAGACGGCCCUCUGGGUUGUAAACUGCUUUUGAAUGGGAAGAAUGUGUGGCUUGCGAGCUAUAAUGACGGUACCAUUAGAAUAAGCCACGGCUAACUACGUGCCAGCAGCCGCGGUAAAA